rnacentral:tRNA from 1 species
ACUAAGGUAGUCUAACCAGACAUCUGAUUUCGACUCAGAAGAACUUAUUAUUUAAGCCAUAGUU